GCGUCCUAGCCAUACGUGAAGAAAUAUCGAGUUUUUAGAAAGAGAAAAGGCGUUGCAGAAAAUGGGUGAGGUAAUUGAAACAGAUGGAGUUGGUUUCAUCAGUUUGCCCAAGUGGUGGAGGGUCCUUUAUGUGGAAUGGAUAUCUCAUACUCGAGUGAUGAAGAGAGGUUAGUUCGUAGUAAUGGAGAUUCUCAAGAAGGAAUGGGGUUGAGGUCGUUGUGACAGCACCACUGAGCGUCAACCUCAGCUAUCGGCCUAGGUUUCCAUUCUUACUUACGCAACCACUAACUAUUUCUGAAAAACAAUGGGGCCGCCUAGGAGCACGCCUCCGACUUUUUGAGCUUUGAGUUUCGGGAUUUUAUUCAUGCUGCUUGUUUGGAUAUGUUUCGUUAUCUAAGAGGGGAUUGCUCCCACUGGUUUCUCUCUCACUUUCACUUAGAUUAUUAUCAAGGACAUACGAGGGGAUUCUGUCUUGGUUUUUUUUACAUACAGGUGAUUUUCAGUUUUGUGCAGACUGCAGAAAUGGAAACCAAUUCCAUA